rnacentral:misc_RNA from 1 species
UUAUUGAGGGCUUUGGAUUUGGAAGAUGCUGAAAUUGAUAUAUUGCCAGAAGGGUUGGGGAUUCUAAUCAACUUAAGGCACUUGAAUUUGAGAGGGACUCGAGUGGCAAAGCUUCCAAAAUCUAUUGGAAAACUCCAAAACCUUGAGUCUUUGGAAAUUAUUGAAACAAAUAUAAAAGAACUUCCUAGUGAAGUGGCUAAGUUGCAGAACUUGCGCUAUCUAUCUAUGUUUAGCAAGUAUAUUGCACACCACCGUAAUUUUGAACUUGUAAAGGGGGUGCAAGUACCAUUUGAAAUUGGCAAAUUGAAGAAAUUGCAAGUCUUGUUAUACAUUGAAGCAACAGGCGACAUAAUAAGGCAACUUAG